GGUCAAGCUACAAAGGGCGCAUGGUGAAUGCCUUGGCAUCAGGAGCCGAUGAAGGACGUGAUAAGCUGCGAUAAGCUUCGGGUAGGCGCACAUAGCCUGAGAUCCGAAGAUCUCCGAAUGAGGAAACUCACAUGGGAAACCCCAUGUAUCAUUAAGUGAAUACAUAGCUUAAUGAAGGUAACCCAGGGAACUGAAACAUCUAAUUACCUGGAGGAAGAGAAAGAAAAAUCGAUUUUCUUAGUAGCGGCGAGCGAAAGGGAAAGAGCCCAAACCGGAAACUUGUUUCCGGGGUUGAGGACAUAACAUAAAGAGAAGUAAUGGCUAAUUGAAGAGAACUGGAAAGUUCCACCGUAGAAGGUAAUAGUCCUGUAAAUGAAAGCUAGUAUAAUCGAGUUAUGAUCCAGAGUACCACGAGACACGUGAAACCUUGUGGGAAGCUGGGAGGACCACCUCCCAAGGCUAAAUACUACCUGAUGACCGAUAGUGAAGCAGUACCGUGAGGGAAAGGUGAAAAGAACCCCGGGAGGGGAGUGAAAUAGAACCUGAAACCGUGUGCCUACAACCGCUCAGAGCCCCUUAUGAGGGUGAUGAGGUGCUUUUUGUAGAACGAGCCAACGAGUUACGGUAUGUAGCAAGGUUAAGUACUUAAGGUACGGAGCCGAAGGGAAACCGAGUCUGAAUAGGGCGACUAGUUGCAUGCCGUAGACCCGAAACCGGGUGACCUAUCCAUGGCCAGGUUGAAGCGAGGGUAAAACCUCGUGGAGGACCGAACCACGUUGCUGUUGAAAAAGCAUGGGAUGAGCUGUGGAUAGCGGAGAAAUUCCAAUCGAACCCGGAGAUAGCUGGUUCUCUCCGAAAUAGCUUUAGGGCUAGCGUCGAGUAUGAGUAGUGGAGGUAGAGCACUGAAUGGGCUAGGGGGCAUAGCGCUUACCGAACCUUAUCAAACUCCGAAUGCCACAUACUUUGAGCUCGGCAGUCAGACUACGAAUGAUAAGAUCCGUGGUCAAAAGGGAAACAGCCCAGAUCGUCAGCUAAGGUCCCAAAGUGUAAGUUAAGUGGGAAAGGAUGUGAGAUUUCUAAGACAACUAGGAUGUUGGCUUAGAAGCAGCCAUUCAUUAAAAGAGUGCGUAAUAGCUCACUAGUCGAGAGAUCUUGCGCCGAAAAUGUAACGGGGCUAAACUUACCACCGAAGCUACGGGCUUGAACUUAGUUCAAGCGGUAGGAGAGCGUCGUAACCGGGCUGAAGUCGUACCGUAAGGAGCGGUGGACUGGUUACGAGUGAGAAUGUUGGCAUCAGUAGCGAGAUGUGGGUGAGAAUCCCACAGGCCGAAAACCUAAGGUUUCCUCAGGAAGGUUCGUCCGCUGAGGGUUAGUCGGGACCUAAGCCGAGGCCGAAAGGCGUAGGUGAUGGACAACUGGUUGAUAUUCCAGUACCACUACCAUCGUUAUUAUCGAUGGCGUGACGCAGGAGGAUAGUGUGUGCUAGCUAUUGGAUGCUAGUCUAAGCGUUUAGGCAGUGAGAGUAGGCAAAUCCGCUCUCAUAAUGCUGAGACGUGAUGGGGAAGGUUCUACGGAACCGAAGUACAUGAUUCCACGCUGCCAAGAAAAGCGUCUAGAGAGAGAAGUAGUGCCCGUACCGCAAACCGACACAGGUAGGUGAGGAGAGAAUCCUAAGGCCGGCGGAAGAAUUACAGUUAAGGAACUCGGCAAAUUGACCCCGUAAGUUCGCGAGAAGGGGUGCCUACGAGAGUAGGCCGCAGAGAAUAGGCCCAAGCAACUGUUUAGCAAAAACACAGGUCUCUGCUAAAGCGUAAGCUGAUGUAUAGGGGCUGACGCCUGCCCGGUGCUGGAAGGUUAAGGGGAACACUUAGCGCAAGCGAAGGUGUGAACUUAAGCCCCAGUAAACGGCGGCCGUAACUAUAACGGUCCUAAGGUAGCGAAAUUCCUUGUCAGGUAAGUUCUGACCCGCACGAAUGGCGUAAUGACUUGGGCACUGUCUCAACUGUAAAUCCGGCGAAGUUGUAGUGCGAGUGAAGAUGCUCGCUACCCGCGAUUGGACGGAAAGACCCCGUAGAGCUUUACUGUAGCUUAGCAUUGAGUUUUGGUAUUGUCUGUACAGGAUAGGUGGGAGAUUAGGAAACCAGGGCGUCAGCCUUGGUGGAGUCAACCUUGGGAUACCACCCUGACAGUACUGAAAUUCUAACUGGCGGCCAUGAAUCUGGUCACAGGACAUUGUUAGGUGGGCAGUUUGACUGGGGCGGUCGCCUCCUAAAAAGUAACGGAGGCGCCCAAAGGUUCCCUCAGAACGGUCGGAAAUCGUUCGAAGAGUGCAAAGGCAGAAGGGAGCCUGACUGCGACACCCACAAGUGGAGCAGGGACGAAAGUCGGGCUUAGUGAUCCGGUGGUACCUCGUGGGAGGGCCAUCGCUCAACGGAUAAAAGCUACCUCGGGGAUAACAGGCUGAUCUCCCCCAAGAGUCCACAUCGACGGGGAGGUUUGGCACCUCGAUGUCGGCUCGUCGCAUCCUGGGGCUGAAGUAGGUCCCAAGGGUUGGGCUGUUCGCCCAUUAAAGCGGCACGCGAGCUGGGUUCAGAACGUCGUGAGACAGUUCGGUCCCUAUCCGUCGCGGGCGUAGGAAAUUUGAGAGGAGCUGUCCUUAGUACGAGAGGACCGGGAUGGACUGACCUCUGGUGUACCAGUUGUUCCGCCAGGAGCACAGCUGGGUAGCUAAGUCGGGAAUGGAUAAACGCUGAAAGCAUCUAAGCGUGAAGCCAACCUCAAGAUGAGAUUUCCCAUAGCGUAAGCUAGUAAGAUCCCUUGAAGAACACAAGGUUGAUAGGUCGGGGGUGUAAGCAUGGUAACAUGUUCAGCUGACCGAUACUAAUAGAUCGAGGGCUUGACCAA
rnacentral:rRNA from 1 species